GUUUCAUUUCCAUAGGUUUCCUACUUCAUUGAGUAAGACGCAUGGAGUGCUUACUUCAUAUCGAUGUUGUCAAGCAAGAAGUAGGAACAACCAAUGAUGGCAAUACUGCCAGAAGAUUUUUCAGGGAUGCAGAAGGAACAGCCCGCAUAACAGGAAUACGUAAAGAUUUAAUAGAGAGGUUUCACGUGAUUGUUCAGACUGUUGCAUCUGGAGAGCGCGUGGACCUUUCCAAUUUUUCCGAGUUUUGUAGAUAUACUGCAGAAUUGUAUAUUAAUAUAUAUACCUGGUAUUAUAUGCCUUCCAGUAUCCAUAAAUUGUUGGCACAUGGCAGUGAUAUACAAUAAUAAAAAGCUUUGCCUUUCGUGCCAUUCCUAUAGGUAAACUGUCGGAAGAGGCAGCGGAAGCUCGCAAUAAAGAUUUUCGGAAAUAUA